rnacentral:rRNA from 1 species
UACGUAGGGGGCUAGCGUUGUCCGGAAUCAUUGGGCGUAAAGAGCGUGUAGGCGGCCCGGUAAGUCCGCUGUGAAAGUCGGGGGCUCAACCCUCGAAUGCCGGUGGAUACUGUCGGGCUAGAGUGCGGAAGAGGCGAGUGGAAUUCCUGGUGUAGCGGUGAAAUGCGCAGAUAUCAGGAGGAACACCUGUGGUGUAGACGGCUCUCUGGACCGCAACUGACGCUGAGACACGAAAGCGUGGGUAGCAAACAGG